ACCAGCCCAACUACCCCUCCCCACCUACCUCACCAGCCAACUACCCCCUCCUCACCUACCACAGCCCAAUAUCCCCCUCACCAGCCCAACUACCCCCUCCUCACCACCUCACCAAGCCCAACUACCACCCCCCCCUCACUACCCUACCGAUUCCCUCCUCACCAGCCCAACUACCAACCACCCCCUCCUCACCUACCCUACCAGCCCAACGAUUCCCCUCACCAGCCCAACUACCCCUCCUCACCAUACCCACCAGCCCACACUACCCCCUCCUCACCUACCCUACCAGCCAACUAUUCCCGUCCCCUCACCAUCAGCCCACACCCAACUACCCCCUCCUCACCUACCUCACCAGCCCAACUACUCCUCCUCACCUACCUCACCAGCCCAACUACCCCCUCCUCACCUACCUCACCAGCCCAACUACCCCUCCUCACCUACCUCACCAGCCCCAACAACCCCCCCCCUCACCUACCACCUCACGCAGCCCAACUACCCCCCCCUCACCAGCCCAACUUCCCCCUCCUCACCUACCCUACCAGCCCAACUGAUUCCCUCCUCACCAGCCCAACUACCCCCCCUCACCAUACUCACCCCAACUACCCCUCCUCACCUACCUCACCAGCCCAACUACCCCCUCCUCACCUACCUCACCAGCCCAACUACCCCUCCUCACCUACCUCACCAGCCCAACUACCCCCUCCUCACCUACCUCACCAGCCCACUUACCCCCCCUCACCAGCCCAACUUACCCCCUCCCACCUACCCUACCAGCCCAACUGAUCCCUCCUCACCAGCCCAACUUACCCCCUUUCACCAGCCCAACUUACCCCCUCCCCCCCCCACCACCCUACCAGCCCAACUUAACCCCCUCCUCCCCAGCCCAACUUACCCUCCUCACCUACCUCACCAGCCCAACUUACCCCCUCCCACCAGCCCAACUUACCCCCUCCUCACCUACCUCACCAGCCCAACUUACCCCCCUCCUUACCUACCCUACCAGCCCAACUUACCCCCUCCUCACCCAGCCAACUUAACCCCUCCAUCACCUACCUCACCAGCCCAACUUAACCCCCCUCACCUACCUACCAGCCCAACUUACCCCCUCCUCACCAGCCCAACUUAACCCCUCCUAGCCUACCUCACACCAGCCCAACUAACCCUGUCCUAGCCUACCUCACCAGCCAAACUAACCCUGUCCUAGCCUCCCUUGCAGCCCCACCUUACCCUAUUCUCCUCCCGGUGCCAUGACCCCACUCUCCCUCAUUGUGCUUCUGUUUUUCGGUGACAGCUGUGCAGAGCGGACCAGAAGAAGUAGUUAAAAGUGCAUAAUGAUUGCAUAAUGUCUAUUGUACAUUUGAUUUAAUCAGUUAUUUAUUUUUUUUGUUAAAAAAAUAUAUAUAUUAAAGCAGAGAAAAAAAUCUAUACACCAUGUUCCUGUGUCUGUGU
rnacentral:lncRNA from 1 species